UCGUCGGUAGUUCAACGGUCAGAUUAGCUGUUUAACAAACAUCUGACCCGGGUUCGACUCCCUGCCGACGCA